CCUACGGGAGGCAGCAGUGGGGGAUAUUGCACAAUGGGGGGAACCCUGAUGCAGCGACGCCGCGUGGGUGAAGAAGCGCCUCGGCGCGUAAAGCCCUGUCAGCAGGGAAGAAAAUGACGGUACCUGAAGAAGAAGCCCCGGCUAACUACGUGCCAGCAGCCGCGGUAAUACGUAGGGGGCAAGCGUUAUCCGGAUUUACUGGGUGGAAAGGGGGCGCAGACGGCGAUGCAAGCCAGGAGUGAAAGCCCGGGGCCCAACCCCGGGACUGCUCUUGGAACUGCGUGGCUGGAGUGCAGGAGGGGCAGGCGGAAGUCCUGGUGGAGCGGUGAAAUGCGUAGAUAUCAGGAGGAACACCGGUGGCGAAGGCGGCCUGCUGGACUGCAACUGACGUUGAGGCCCGAAAGCGUGGGGAGCAAACAGGAUUAGAUACCCGAGUAGUC
rnacentral:rRNA from 1 species